rnacentral:rRNA from 1 species
AUUGAACGCUGGCGGCAUGCUUUACACAUGCAAGUCGAACGGUAACAGGCCGCAAGGUGCUGACGAGUGGCGAACGGGUGAGUAAUGCAUCGGAACGUGCCCAGUCGUGGGGGAUAACUACUCGAAAGAGUAGCUAAUACCGCAUACGAUCUAUGGAUGAAAGCGGGGGACCGUAAGGCCUCGCGCGAUUGGAGCGGCCGAUGUCAGGUUAGGUAGUUGGUGGGGUAAAGGCUCACCAAGCCAACGAUCUGUAGCUGGUCUGAGAGGACGACCAGCCAAACCGGGACUGAGACGCGGCCCAGGCUCCUACGGGAGGCAGCAGUGGGGAAUUUUGGACAAUGGGCGCAAGCCUGAUCCAGCAAUGCCGCGUGCAGGAAGAAGGCCUUCGGGUUGUAAACUGCUUUUGUACGGAACGAAACGGCUCUGGUUAAUACCCGGGGCUAAUGACGGUACCGUAAGAAUAAGCACCGGCUAACUACGUG